GCAUAGACCAGGCUAACAAAGUUUAACAAGGCUCAGACCAAGGUGCUGAGUGAAUUUAGCAUUGGUAAAAAGCACUGGAAUGAAACUCUGGAGAACCGAGUCCUCUGUUUAGCCCCAGAGCAGGUACAGCACAGGUAGGAGUGGUGCAAGCUUCACGCAUGCUGUACCCACCAAUGUACCUCAAGCCUGAACCUCGGAGAGACAACAUCCUCUGGAGACAGGGUGGGAGGAGCUCAGCUUUCAGACAGGAGCAUGCAUUUAAAGUUGAUGGCAACUGAUGACAGUCACAGAAGGGGAAGAGGAAAGGAAUUCGUCCCAGCCAAAAUUCACUGAGGAAGAAGGGACCCCUCACCCCAUACCUUCCUUUAAACACACAAAUAUGUGCACAUGGGCAAAAAUCCCACCGCCUCUUCCAUUCAUGAUUGUACAGAUCGCACCCCCCCUUUAGUGAUCACAUAACAUC